AAUGAACGCUGGCGGCAUGCCUAACACAUGCAAGUCGAGCGGAUGAAGGGAGCUUGCUCCUGGAUUCAGCGGCGGACGGGGGAGUAAUGCCUAUGAAUCUGCCUGAUCUUGGGGGAUAACGUCCUAAAACGGGCGCUAAUACCCGAUACGUCCUUAUGUAGAAAGUGGGUGGUCUUCGGACCUCUCGCUAUGUGAUUAGCCUAGGUCGGAUUAGCUAGGUGGUGGGGUAAAGGCUUACCGAGGCGGCGAUCCGAAACUGGUCUGAGAGGAUGAUCAGUCACACGGGAAGUGAGACAGGGUACAGACUCCUACGGGAGGACGCAGUCGGGAAUCUUAGGCAAUGGGGGAGAGCCUGAUACAGCAAUGCCGCGUGUGGGAUGAAGGUCUUCGGAUUGUAAAGCACUUUAAGUUGGGGGGAAGGGAAGUAAGUUUAUACGUUGCUGUAUUGACGGUACCGAGAGAAUAAGCACCGGCUAACUUCGUG
rnacentral:rRNA from 1 species